UCCGGUGACGAUGGCGGUGAGGAUCCACCUGUUCCCAUACCGAACACAGAAGUUAAGCUCACUUGCGUCGGAAGUACUUGCCUUUUAAGGCUGGGAGAUAUGAUAGUUGCCGGAU
rnacentral:rRNA from 1 species